rnacentral:rRNA from 1 species
CAGUAGCCGCGGUAAUACGAAGGGGGCUAGCGUUGCUCGGAAUCACUGGGCGUAAAGGGUGCGUAGGCGGGUUAUUAAGUCAGAGGUGAAAUCCUGGAGCUCAACUCUGGAACUGCCUUUGAUACUGGGUAUCUUGAGUAUGGAAGAGGUUAGUGGAAUUGCGAGUGUAGAGGUGAAAUUCGUAGAUAUUCGCAGGAACACCAGUGGCGAAGGCGGCUAACUGGUCCAUAACUGACGCUGAGGUGCGAAAGCGUGGGGAGCAAACAGGAUUAGAUACCCCGGUAGUCCCUGUCUCUUAUAC